rnacentral:lncRNA from 1 species
GUUUUGCUGAGUCAGAUUCUGAUCCUUUUGGUUCUGCUUCCUGUAAUCAAGCCCCAUCAGUCUCACCUGCUCGCUGCCACAUGCAGUAUGGACGGCUGCUUUGACUAACUGCUGCUAGUUCCCUCAAUCUGCCAGUCAUUUCAGCCUUUUAAAGAAGUUUUCCUGUUUCAUGCUUGGAUUUCAACAGUUUCGCCUCCAUCUGGUUCUUCUUGACUCUAAAGGCCGUUACCAAACAAACACAGAUGUGAACCUCCAGCUGUUCCGGCAGGUAUACGAUCAGAGAUUUAUCUCUCUUCUCCUCCAUGCAGCCAACACCAUUGAUAUUUUUUAUGAAACAAGUCAUAUUUAAUUGAACGUGUCAAUACCAGUAUACAGCUAUGUCUUGUCUAAAUGAUUCUUGGCAGAGUUGUUGAAGGCGUCUGCAGUCAGAGACCGGCUGAAGGGAAAGACUUCAUCCUGCUGUGUCUGUGGAUGAAGAGAGCAACUGCCGAAAACAAGAUAGAGGAUGACUCCAGUGAUGUAGCAGCAACUUUUGGAACAGACGUGGGCUUGCUUAACAGGGAAAACAGCUUUUCGCUGGGGCUAGGGCAUGUGUCCAGCCGGCGCUCUGACAACAAGAGGCUGUGUCACCUUGCCAGCCACCUGUAACCGGUGACCAACCGAGAGUUGGGAGAGGCUUGAUAGGACUGGCAUACAGGGUCAGAAACACACUGGCAAAAUAUUCUACUGUAUAAGUAAGAAUCGUAAAAUUAUUCCAAAAGCCUUCACCUGACCUGGGAUUUUUUUUUUACAGCUGUCAGCUGUAAAAAUCAGCUUUCACAUGGGCCUCAACCCUCCACGGCCAGAGGUGGGGGCCGUCUCUCAGGCCUGCAGUGGUAGGUGCAAAUUUGUAUU